rnacentral:misc_RNA from 1 species
AGCAGCCGCGGUAAUUCCGGCUCCAAUAGCGUAUAUUAAAGUUGUUGCAGUUAAAAAGCUCGUAGUUGAAUUUCGGGACUAAUAUGUCGGUCGUGCCUCGGUACGUACUGGUUUAUUGGUUUCUCCUUUCUGAAGAACCAUGAUGUCAUUUAUUUGGUGUCGUGGGGAAUCAGGACUGUUACUUUGAAAAAAUUAGAGUGUUUAAGGCAGGCUCACGCUUGAAUACAUUAGCAUGGAAUAAUGAAAUAGGACGUUUGAUUCUAUUUUGUUGGUUUCUAGGAUCGACGUAAUGAUUAAUAGGGAUAGUUGGGGGCAUUAGUAUUCAAUUGUCAGAGGUGAAAUUCUUGGAUUUAUUGAAGACUAACUACUGCGAAAGCAUUUGCCAAGGAUGUUUUCAUUAAUCAAGAACGAAAGUUAGGGGAUCGAAGACGAUCAGAUACCGUCGUAGUCUUAACCAUAAACUAUGCCGACUAGGGAUCGGAUGAUGUUAAUUUUUUAAUGACUCAUUCGGCGCCUUACG